rnacentral:lncRNA from 1 species
UUUUUUUUCCUGUGAAUUUUUAUUUCUGGGAUUUUUUUUCUGGGAAUCUUUCCAGGAAUUUUUUUUCCAGAUUUUUUUUCCCAUUUUUUCCCCCAUUUUUUUUCCUUUUCCAGGCAUUUUUUCCCAGGAAUUUUUCCCAUUUUUCCCCCAUUUCCUUUCCCCCCCAAAUUUUUUAUUUUAUUUUUUUUUUCCUUUUCCAGGCAUUUUUUUUUCUGGGAAUUUUUUCUCCGGGAUUUUUUUUUAUACACAAUUUUCCUCCACCCUGUUUCCUUUUCUUCCAAGAAUUCCACGUUUUUCCCGAGAAUUCCUCCUUUUUUCCUGGGAAUUCCAUGUUUUUUCCUAGGAAUUUCAGUUUUUUCCUGGGAAUUUUGUGGUUUUUUCCAAAAAUUCCACAUUUUUCCCAAAAAUUCUGCGUCUUUUCCUGAGAAAUCUGAGUUUUUCCUGGGAAUUCAAUGAUUUUUCCCAAAAAUUCCACAUUUUCCCAAAAAUUCCACAUUUUUUCCCAAAAAUUCCACAUUUUUCCCAAAAAUUCCACAUUUUUCCCAAAAUUUCCCAAAAAUUCCACAUUUUCCCAAAAAUUCCACAUUUUUUCCCAAAAAUUCCACAUUUUUCCCAAAAAUUCCACAUUUUUCCCAAAAAUUCCACAUUUUUCCCCCAAAAUUCCACAUUUUUUCCCAAAAAUUCCACAUUUUCCCCAAAAAUUCCACAUUUUUCCCCCAAAAUUCCACAUUUUCUCCCAAGAAUUCCAUGUUUUUCCUGGGAACUCUGUAUUUUUUCCUGGGAAUUCCAUGGUUUUUCCCAAGAAUUCCAUAUUUUUUCCUGGGAAUUUCAGGUUUUUUACCAAAAAUUCCACGAUUUUCCCAAAAAUUCUGCGUCUUUUCCUGAGAAAUCCGAGUUUUCCCUGGGAAUUCAAUGGUUUUCCCAAAAAAUUCUGCAUUUUUUCCCAAAAAUUCCACAUUUUCUCCCAAAAAUUCCACAUUUUUUCCCAAAAAAUUCCACAUUUUCCCCAAGAAUUCCACAUUUUUCCCAAAAAUUCCACAUUUUUCCCCAAGAAUUCCAUGUUUUUCCUGGGAACUCCGUAUUUUUUCCUGGGAAUUCCAUGGUUUUUCCCAAGAAUUCCACAUUUUUCCCCGGUAUUUCGCAUUUUUUUCCCAAAAAUUCCUCAUUUUUUUCCAGGAAUUUUGAGUUUUUUCCCCAAAAUUUUCUGUUUUUCCCAAGAAUUCCACAUUUUUUCCCCAAGAAUUCCACAUUUUUUCCAAGGAUUUUUGCAUUUUUUCCCGAAAUUUUCUCUUUUUCCCAAAAAUUCCACAUUUUCUCCCAAAAAUUCCACAUUUUCCCCAGGAAUUCUCUCUUUUCCCCAGGAAUUCUCUCUUUUUCCCAGAAAUUCCACAUUUUCCCCAGAAAUUCUCUCUUUUUCCCCAGGAAUUCUCUCUUUUCUCCCAAGAAAUUCCAUGUUUUCCCAAGAAUUCCACAUUUUUUCCCAAAAAUUCCACAUUUUCCCCAGGAAUUCUCUGUUUUUCCCAGGAAUUCUCUGUUUUCCCCCAAGAAUUCCACAUUUCUUCUCAAGAAUUCCACAUUUUUUCCCAGAAAUUCUCUUUUUUUCUCAGAAAUUCCGCAUUUUUCCCCAAGAAUUCUCUCUUUUUCCCAGAAAUUCUCUGUUUUCUCCCAAAAAUUCCUCACUUUCCCCAGGAAUUCUCUCUUUUUCCCCAGGAAUUCUCUCUUUUCUCCCAAGAAUUUCUCAUUUUUUCCCAGAAAUUCUCUGUUUUUCCCAAAAAUUCCACAUUUUCUCCCAAAAAUUCCACAUUUUUCCCCAGGAAUUCUCUCUUUUUCCCCAGGAAUUCUCUGUUUUUCCCAGGAAUUCUCUGUUUUUUCCCAGAAAUUCCACAUUUUUUCCCAGGAAUUCCACAUUUCUUCUCAAGAAUUCCACGUUUUAUCCCAAAAAUUCCACAUUUCCCCCAGGAAUUCUCUGUUUUUCCCAGGAAUUUUCUGUUUUUCCCAGAAAUUCCACAUUUUCCCCAGGAAUUCUCUCAUUUUCCCCAGGAAUUUUCUGUUUUUCCCAAAAAUACCACAUUUUUUCCCAAAAAUUCCACAUUUUCCCCAGGAAUUCUCUCAUUUUCCCCAGGAAUUCUCUCAUUUUUUCCCAGGAAUUCCACAUUUCUUCUCAAGAAUUCCACGUUUAUAUCCCAAAAAUUCCACAUUUCCCCCAGGAAUUCUGCGUUUUUCUCCAGGAAUUUUCUGUUUUCUCCCAAAAUUCCACAUUUCCCCCAGGAAUUCUCUCAUUUUUCCCAGGAAUUCUCUGUUUUUCCCAAAAAUACCACAUUUUUUCCCAAAAAUUCCACAUUUUUCCCCAGGAAUUCUCUCUUUUUCCCAGGAAUUCUCUCUUUUUCCCAGGAAUUCUCUGUUUUUUCCCAAGAAUUCCACAUUUUUUCCCAAAAAUUCCACAUUUCCCCCAGGAAUUCUCUCUUUUCCCCCAGGAAUUCUCUCUUUUCCCCCAGGAAUUCUCUCUUCUCUCCCAAGAAAUCCCGUAUUUUCCCCAGGAAUUCCGCCUUUUCCCCAGGAAUUAUCCGGACUCGGAGUCGCUGGUGUCGGAGGAGGAGGAGGAAGAGGAAGAGCUGCUCGAGUCCGAGCUGGAGCUGGAGGCGCUGAGCCGCGACGCCGCCGCCGCCGCCGCCGAUUCCGACGGGAAAAGGCGGGAAAUUCAGGGAAUUCCCGGGAAAAUUCCGGGAAAAUUCCCCGGGAAAUUCAGGGAAUUCCCGGGAAAAUUCCGGGAAAAUUCCCCGGGAAAUUCAGGGAAUUCCCGGGAAAAAUCCGGGAAAAUUCCCAGGAAAAUCCUGAGAAAAUCCCCCUGAAAAUUCAGGGAAAUACCCUGGGAAAUUCCCGGGAAAUUCC